rnacentral:rRNA from 1 species
CCAGCCUGCCCAGUGACAAAGUUUAACGGCCGCGGUACCCUAACCGUGCGAAGGUAGCAUAAUCACUUGUUCUUUAAAUAGGGACUCGUAUCAACGGCAUCACGAGGGCUAUACUGUCUCCUUUCUCCAAUCAGUGAAACUGAUCUUCCCGUGAAGAAGCGGGAAUUAUUGUAUAAGACGAGAAGACCCCAUGGAGCUUUAAACUCAAUAUAUACCUCUACGCAUUUAUAUCACUAUAGCCUAAGAAGAUUAUAUAUUAGUUUUGGGUUGGGGGGACCGCGGAGAAAAAAUUAACCUCCACGACAAAUAGGCCAACGCCUUUAUCUAUGAACCACAAUUCUAAGAAUCAAUAAACUGAUGUUUAAUGAUCCAAUUUUUUGAUCAACGAACCAAGUUACCCUGGGGAUAACAGCGCAAUCUACUUCAAGAGCUCCUAUCGACAAGUGGGUUUACGACCUCGAUGUUGGAUCAGGGUAUCCUAGUGGUGCAGCCGCUACUAAAGGUUCGUUUGUUCAACGAUUAAAACCCUACGUGAUCU